rnacentral:hammerhead_ribozyme from 1 species
CCGAAACACCCGCCCGCUCGGGGUGGGUGUCCGCCGGGUGGAGCCCGGCGCUGACGAG